CUUACGUACAGUAGAUGGCGUUUAUCAAAAAUUAAUUUAUCCGUUAAACUUAUGUUAGACUCAAAAGUGAAACAAAGUUGCAUCACUUUACUCUUUGUCUUUUACCCUAUGAUUAUAAUCACCAGGCCCAAGUGAAAACUUAAGUUGAAAUAAUUUUUUUAAAAUGUUGAUCAAUGAGCUUCCCGACGAUUGUAUGCUCGCAAUUUUCGACCAAUUCGAUAACCUGUAUCAUUUAAUGGCCUGUUAUAAAGUGUGUCUUAAAUGGAGUCAUUUAAUUGCUCAACGAAUUAAAAAAGUUAAAUAUUUUUUAGAUUAUUAUGCUUAUUUACCUGAUUAUUCACCUGAUUAUGUUUUUUAUAGAGACAGAGAUCUGAUUGAUUUAGCCGGUCUGAACACAUUAUUCCAAAUUUAAUAGUUGCUGAAUUUUCUGAUAGAUUCAGUGUGAAAGUAAAAUUUGAAGAUAUUGUUGCAUUCGUCAGAAACCAUGAGUCUUUGAAAGGAAUAAUCACUUAUUCUCUUGAAGUAAUGGAACAGUGUUGUGAUAAACUCGAAAUGCUAGCCACCAAGUUUAGUGAGGCACGCAUUCUACGAAACUGUUCCAGUAUGAAACAAUUGCAUAUAAAUGAUUAUACUCUAGAUGAUUUCGAAAGAGCGGCACAUUAUUUACCAAAUCUUGAACGA